AUGACUUUGAUCUCUGUCCUCAUCUGGACUCUCCUCUGCUGCUGCUUCACAGAGUCCAGAGGCCAGAUCACAGUGACUCAGUCUGCAGCAGUGAGAUCUGAACUGGGACGAUCUGCAACCAUCAACUGUAAGACCAGUCAGGAUGUUUAUUAUGAUGGCGCUGACCACAUAUUAGCCUGGUACCAACAGAGAGAUGGAGAAACUCCUAAACUUCUCAUUUACUGGGCUACACGUCGACAAUCAGGGAUUCCAGAUCGUUUUUCAGGCAGUGGAUCAAACUCUGACUUCACUCUGACCAUCAGUGGAGUUCAGGCUGAAGAUGCAGCAGUUUAUUACUGUCAGAGUCAUCACAGUGGAUAUGUGUUCACACAGUGA